rnacentral:rRNA from 1 species
GCUGUCGGCCAUACUAAGGUGAAAACACCGGAUCCCAUUCGAACUCCGAAGUUAAGCGCCUUAAGGCUGGGUUAGUACUAAGGUGGGGGACCGCUUGGGAAGUCCCAGUGUCGACAACCUUU